rnacentral:rRNA from 1 species
GACGAACGCUGGCGGCGUGCCUAAUACAUGCAAGUCGAGCGCAGGAAACUGAUGGAACUCUUCGGAGGGAAGGCAGUGGAAUGAGCGGCGGACGGGUGAGUAACACGUAAGGAACCCGCCUCAAGGAUUGGGAUAACUCCGAGAAGUCGGAGCUAAUACCGGAUAGUUCAACGGACCGCAUGGUCCGCUGAUGAAAGGCGCUCCGGCGUCACCUUGAGAUGGCCUUGCGGUGCAUUAGCUAGUUGGUGGGGUAACGGCCCACCAAGGCGACGAUGCAUAGCCGACCUGAGAGGGUGAUCGGCCACACUGGGACUGAGACACGGCCCAGACUCCUACGGGAGGCAGCAGUAGGGAAUCUUCCACAAUGGACGAAAGUCUGAUGGAGCAGCGCCGCGUGAGUGAUGAAGGUUUUCGGAUCGUAAAACUCUGUUGUAAGGGAAGAACACGUACGAGAGGAAAUGCUCGUACCUUGACGGUACCUUACGAGAAAGCCACGGCUAACUACGUGCCAGCCGCCGCCGUAA